rnacentral:rRNA from 2 species
CACGCCCUAAACGAUGCGAACUAGGUGUUGGGGAAGGAGACUUUCUUAGUACCGCAGCUAACGCGUGAAGUUCGCCGCCUGGGGAGUACGGUCGCAAGAUUAAAACUCAAAGGAAUUGACGGGGACCCGCACAAGCGGUGGAUGAUGUGGAUUAAUUCGAUGCAACGCGAAAAACCUUACCUACCCUUGACAUGUCAGGAAUUCUGCUGAGAGGUGGAAGUGCCCGAAAGGGAACCUGAACACAGGUGC